CUAGCGCCACCGGAGAGAUUAGGAACUAUUAUUUAAAGCUGAAAGCGGCUGACAUUUCAAAAAUGACAAUCGAAUGUCAGUCUUACUCAUCGAAAAUAGAACACAUGUUUGAAGUGCCGUAUGUGGAAAAUAUAAACCUUUAGCCUGGUAAAGGGUUAAGUAGAGAAGAAAAUGUUUAUUAAAUCGGUGUUAGUUUAGAUGAAAGUGAUUUAUGUAGGUACUAGGACACGUUAGUAGAAGCAAAAUUAUUAUUGUACGUAAUGAGUAGCGGACACGAGAUAACACCUUGGCCCCUGUGAUUCAUUUAGUUAAAACUAGGAUUUGAUAGUCAUUAAAUAAAAUUUGUCAUAGA